UACAGAGGGGGGCAAGCGUUAUUCGGAAUUAUUGGGCGUAAAGGGCGCGUAGGCGGCUUUGCAAGUGACGGGUGAAAUCCCUCGGCUUAACCGAGGAACUGCCUGUCAGACUGCAUGGCUUGAGACCGGGAGAGGUGAGUGGAAUUCCCAGUGUAGCGGUGAAAUGCGUAGAUAUUGGGGAGGAACACCAGUGGCGAAGGCGGCUCACUGGACCGGUACUGACGCGUGAUGCGCGAAAGCGUGGGGAGCAAACAGG
rnacentral:rRNA from 1 species